ensembl:lncRNA
CUUAAAACUACUGUUUUUCCACUAUAUAAGUCGGGGUCUAAAGUCUUAAGACCCCUACUCUCUGAUGGACUGGGCUACGCAGAUGAAUUCUUCUUCUCCACACCAAAUACAAAACUCAACAAUAAGGGUUGUCUGGUCGCCCCCGAGGCACAUGACUGAAGCUACUGUGCCCUCUGGGAGUUGCCAGAUUGGCAGUCAGUUCUAAGGAUUUACUGCUGGGCCAUGUCUUAGGAAAUAACUGGCAGAAUUAAUGGAAAAGGGAUGUCAAACCUAACAGACCAAUUUUCAGUUUCUAUGACUAUGGCGGAGGAGGCUUUGUCCAGCCAUAACCUUCAUGUUGCUUACUAUUAAAUAUCCUCCACACCCAAAUUGUCACCCUUUCGUUGCUCGUACACCCACACUUGAUUUGGUGGAAUGGCAGUUGGUUUAAUAAAAAUAUAAAAAAUGCAUUUUUGGGCCAAAAAUCAUCUAGACAGAGCUUGCAUCUUUCAGUUUAUUAUUUAUAUACCAGCAAAUGUUGGCAUAGCACAACAUUUGACAGAUAAAAUCAAAAUAAAAUACUGGGAGUUAUGGUGGCAACUCUUUAAGAACCCUACCUCUGCCGACUACUUAAUGUAAAAAAAUGAAAACGUUCUUUAGCAGACAUCUGGAAAACAUUAGCUGAAUGUGAAUUCACCAAAAAUGGAGGGCACACUUUUGAAAAAAAUAAAGCGAGGGUGAGGGGCUUUCUUAUAAAAAAAUGAUUAAAAGGCUAUAAAAGGUAAUGUAAAAAUAUAUUACAAAAACAAGCACUGUGGGGGUGGCACAAGCAAUCACAGUUUACCCAGUAACGAUUACAACAACGUGCUCAGCUGGGCUAAUAGAGAAAGCUGUCGAUACAGCUUAACCGACACAGGGAGCACACACACACGCACCGACGCACACACGUAGGCCACCAGGACACUGAAUCAUCAAAUGAAGGGCUAGAAGUUCAAGAGAUAAUAAUACUUAUGCGGGCCUCUGAAAAGCAGGGCUAGUGCUUGGUGUCAGUUCCCGUUGUUCAGAUCCCAGGUGCUUGCGUCCUGCCUCCAGUUACAAACGACUGUCACACACACAAAGAUGCAUUUGGAAAUGAGGGCACAAACAUUCACAAAAUAGUUUAAGCCCCCACCAUGCUCAAUGAUGACAAAGAUAAUAUGAGAAGGAUUUUUGUCUGACUGAAUUAUACUGGACUGUGCAUUACAAUAUGUCAAGUGGUGAAAAUAGGAAAUGACUACCUAUAACCAUUGAUUUGGAGGUAGAGGUAAAGAGAGAGAGAGAGAGAGGUAAAGAGAGAGAGAGAGAGAGAGAGAGAGAGAGAGUAAAGAGAGAGAGGUAAAGAGAGAGAGAG